UUGAUCUGAAAUCAGGCGGGAUUACCCGCUGAACUUAAGCAU
rnacentral:rRNA from 1 species